rnacentral:lncRNA from 1 species
AUAGUAUAGUAUAGUAUAGUAUAGUAUAGUAUAGUAUAGUAUAGUAUAGUAUAGUAUAGUAUAGUAUAGUAUAGUAUAGUAUAGUAUAGUAUAGCAUAGUAUAGUAUGUAUACUAAGUGUAUAGUAUAUAUAUGUAGAUAUAGUAUAGUGUAUUAUAUAUACUAAGUGUAUAGUAUAUAUAUAUAGAUAUGGUAUAGUGUAUUAU